rnacentral:rRNA from 1 species
CGAACGGGUGAGUAACGCGUGAGGAACCUGCCUCAAAGAGGGGGACAACAGUUGGAAACGACUGCUAAUACCGCAUAAGCCCACGGCUCGGCAUCGAGCAGAGGGAAAAGGAGCAAUCCGCUUUGGGAUGGCCUCGCGUCCGAUUAGCUAGUUGGUGAGGUAACGGCCCACCAAGGCGACGAUCGGUAGCCGGACUGGGAGGUUGAACGGCCACAUUGGGACUGAGACACGGCCCAG